AAUGAACGUCGGCGGCAUGGAUUAGGCAUGCAAGUCGAGCGAGAAGGGUUUUGAAGCUUGCUUUAGAACCCGGAAAGCGGCGCAAGGGAGAGUAACGAGUAGUUAUCUACCCCAAGGCCCGGAAUAGCUGCGGGAAACUGCAGGUAAUGCCGGAUAAUAUCCCGGAUCAAAGGUGUGAUUCCGCCUUGGGAGGAGACUGCUUUGUACUAGCUAGUUGGUAGGGUAAUGGCCUACCAAGGCUACGAUGCAUAGCGGGCGUGAGAGCGUGGCCCGUCUCACUGGGACUGAAACACUGCCCAGACACCUACGGGUGGCUGCAGUCGAGAAUCUUCGGCAAUGGGCGAAAGCCUGACCGAGCGAUGCCGCGUGCGGGAUGAAGGCCCUCGGGUUGUAAACCGCUGUCGUAGAGGAGAAAGGUCUGAUGAAGAAUCAGAUUUGAUCUAUUCUAGGAGGAAGUCGGGGCUAAGUUCGUGCCAGCCGCCGCGGUAA
rnacentral:rRNA from 1 species